UACGGGGGGAGCAAGCGUUGUUCGGAUUUACUGGGCGUAAAGGGCGCGUAGGCGGCGCGGUAAGUCACUUGUGAAAUCUCUGAGCUUAACUCAGAACGGCCAAGUGAUACUGCAGUGCUAGAGUGCAGAAAGGGCAAUCGGAAUUCUUGGUGUAGCGGUGAAAUGCGUAGAUAUCAAGAGGAACACCUGAGGCGAAGGCGGGUUGCUAGGCUGACACUGACGCUGAGUGCGCGAAAGCCAGGGGAGCAAACGGG
rnacentral:rRNA from 1 species